CAGCUCUGAAAUUCCAAUCCCGGGAACCUUCUCCGAAGAGAUUUGGAAUGGACCGGGGGCGGAGAGGGGGAGGAAGGAGGAGGAGAGGCGGAGAGGGGAGAGAGGGCAGAGACGGGGAGGAGGGAUGGGUUGUGUUUGCAGAAUACUACCAAACAGUGCUCGAGCUCGGACGUUCGUCCACCUCCGGGCUGUUUCCCCCGAACCUGGCUGAGUUGGAGAGGAGGGGGCGGCAGAGGGGGAGGAGAGAAGUGGAGGGCUGGUCCCCUGCUCGGGAGAGUUGAACCCCCCCUUUUCCCUCCCCCCCCCAAAAAAUAGGCUACAGGAUCCGCCAGGGAGGAGACAGGCCUUGGCCUGGGAGAGCCGGACCCAGGGAGGAUCUCGGGACCCCAGCGGCAAAGAGGGGGGCCGCUGUACCCCGAGCUUCACCGCUCCCUCCUAAGCCGCUGUGCCCCACUCUCGGAAAGCCUGAGGCUAAGCAGCCAUCCCCUCGCUCCACCUUCUCGCCAUCCCCAUCCCCCACGCUGACUUUCCCUUUCUUCGCUGCUCAGCAGUCGUGGUUUCCUUUUUGCCUCUUGGAUGGAAACUUUAGAGUUGGUUUUGAAUUUGGCCAGCGUAGCCAGAUGCUCCCUCUUCAGAUCCGGUUCCCUACAUGGCCUUGGGGGAUCUGGUUCUGAUGACCUGGUCUGAUCACCACAGUCACAACAGCAGCAGUCCAGGAGGGGGCUUGGCCAGGCUCAACAGGUGUUUGCUUUGCUGACGCUGCUUUCACUGAGAGAAGCUGGCAGGUCCUUCAGCCCAGCAAGGAGAUGUUCCUGGGACAUCUCAUCCAAAGUCACAGGUCUCACCACCUGGAGCUUUCAGGAGCAGGCCCGGCAAAGAUCCAGGCUCGAGGCACAGCAUCAGCUUGGGACAGCAUGAGAACACAGAAGAUUCAGUUACGCCAAUGCAUGAAAAAGACCAGACUGGUGGUUGUAAGUGCCCACCUUCCAUCCUGAGACGGAAACCACCAGAGUGCCCUAUAACAGGUGACAGGAGAAGGGCUGAGAGGCGGGUACGCUUCCAAGAGCCCGAGGAGACGACUGUGCAUGACAUCUCCUGUGCGGACACCCUCGUAGCCCCAGACAGGUGGUCAUCUGGAUGCCCUCUCUUCCUGUGUCUCUGCCUUUGCAUCCUGCUUGGCCUAGCCCUGAGCCUCUAUUGUGGUCAGACCAAGCUGGGCUCCAAGGCCCUGGAGGAAUUCCGAGCCUGGCUCCUUCUCUUCCUCCUCCGGGACUUCUUCCAAAGUACAGCUAACUUGGGAGGAGCAUUGUGGUACAAAGGAAUGAGCAUUGCAGCUAGAGCAAAAGAACCUGGGUUCAAAUUCUGGCUCUGCCACUUGUUAUGUUUGUGACCAUGGGCAAGUCAUCUCACCCAUCUCCUGGGCCCAUUUCCUCGUCUGUAAAUUGAUGGGGCUCUAGACUAAACGACCUCUGAGGUCCCUUUUGCCACUAUAGCUAUGAUCUUGUGAGUGAUUCUCCUAUUUAGUUACAACUUCCUUGGAUCUUCUGAUUUCUUUUGUAGAAGGAAUGGGGAUAUUGAUCAUGCUUCAGUUCUUCCAGCAUUAUGUUGAUUCAUGGGUUGUUGGACAAAGAUCUCACACAUGGAGAGCAAUAGGCAAAUUAAUAUUUAUAUGAUCUUGGAGGGAGAGAGGUGGAGAGGGCUUCUUACGAAUAUGGAAUAUGCUAUACACAGUCAGAUGCAGUUACUUUGUCUGUUGGUUUUGCUUAAAGGUUUUUCCCAAAUGGAUGGGAAGGAGGUAAGAGGAUAGACAUUAAGAGGUAUAAAAUAAAGGACACUUUAAAAAAAUAAUGUUUAUAGAA
ensembl:lncRNA